ensembl:lncRNA
GGAAAUUCAAACAUUAAAAAUACAAAAAAUUAUGCACUAAGCACUUGUGUACUCAACACAUUUUUUGAAUAAAUAUUAACAGUGCCAUUUUGACUUUAGAUUCAUUUCUAAAAUUAAUUUUUAAAUGUUGAGACAAUUGUGGACUCAAAUGGCACCCCAGUCCCAUACUCUUGCCUGGAAAAUCCCAUGGGCAAAGGAGCCUGGACAGACUGCCGUCUAUAGGGUCGCUAAGAGUCGGACACGACUGAGCUACUUCACUUUCACUUUUCACUUUCAUGCAUUGGAGAAGAAAAUGGCAACCCACUCCAGUGUUCUUGCCUGGGGAAUCCCAGGGACGGAGGAGCCUGGUGGGCUGCCGUCUAUGGGGUCGCACAGAGUCGGACACGACUGAAGUGACUUAGCAGCAGCAGCAGCACACAGUUUUAAGAAAUAAUGCAGAGAUUGAUGGGCAGGGUGCUCUAGGAAGAACCCAGCCUCACUACUGUGGAAUUCUUGCCUAAAGUGCAGCAACUGAAUCGACUCAUGAGGAAAUAGCCAACAAAUCCGAGUGGAAGGAUAAUCUGUAAAGCAACUGGGAUUCUGCUCUUCAAAAAUGCCAGUGUGAGACAGAAAGAGUCAGAAAACGUCCCAAAUCACAGGAGACCAAAGGGACAAGAUGACGGAAUUCAAGCAUUGCAUUGCUUAAGAUAAAAUCUUAACAAGGUCUGUAGAUUAGAUAGUAGCAUUAUUUCAGUAUUAAUCUCCUUAUUUUUGAUCACUGUCCUGUGGUCAUGCAAGAAAAUUUAAGAAAAUACAAACAAGUGUUCUGUAAAAAUAGGGAGUAAAAGAUCGUCAUAUCUAAACUUACUCUUCCUGAUACCUCAGUUGGUAAAGAAUCUAUCUGCAAUGCAGGAGACCCCGGUUCAAUUCCUGAGUGGAAAAAAUCCAUUGGAGAAGGGAUAGGCUACCCACUCCAGUAUUCUUGACCUUUCCUUGUGGCUCAGCUGGUAAGGAAUCUGCCUACAAUAUGGGAGACCUGGCUUCAAUCCCUGGGUUGGGAAGAUCCCCUGGAGAAGGGAAAGGCUACCCACUUCAGUAUUCUGGCCUAGAGAUAUUCCAUGGACUAUACUGUCCAUGGGGUAGCAGUCGAACAUGGCUGAGCAACUUUCACUUUUGCUUUCAAACUUACUCUUAGAUGGGCAUUAGAGGACUUUCUGGCUAACAAAAAAGUUCCAUACCUUGACUACAGUGGUGGUUACAAGGGUUAUAUAAAUGUAUUUAUUUGCCAAAGGUGUCAAACUUAAG